UACGUAGGGGGCAAGCGUUGUCCGGAAUCAUUGGGCGUAAAGCGCGUGUAGGCGGCCCGAUAAGUCCGCUGUAAAAGUCCAGGGCUCAACCCUGGAAAGCCGGUGGAUACUGUCGGGCUCGAGUCCGGAAGAGGCGAGUGGAAUUCCUGGUGUAGCGGUGAAAUGCGCAGAUAUCAGGAGGAACACCGAUGGCGAAGGCAGCUCGCUGGGGCGGUACUGACGCUGAGACGCGAAAGCGUGGGGAGCAAACAGG
rnacentral:rRNA from 1 species